AUGGGUUACUACUCCUAAAACACAUACUACAUAGAACUUAUGGUACAUGCAACAUUUGUUUUGUGUGGUACUGUGUCAUUCUGAAUCGAGCCUGGAUCAUUUUUGGAGGAGUUAAACCGUGCAUGUAAAGCACUGUCAAAAUAAUGGUUGACUGUCUACAGAUGCCCCUGGACACUGAUGAGGACCACUCCUAUAACAAGAGGCCUUACAGCUUCCUUCCUAAAGAGUCGUAAGAUGGAACUUUGUUCUCAUGACCUCGCCAAGAACAUGAGUGAGGAAGCGCACCAAAGGCUGAAGGACUUGUGAAAGAUUCCGAGGAGUUUAUUAUUUAUUCAAUAUUUUUUUAAGUUGACCAGCUCUGAUUUUCCAUUUGAUGUUCUGUUCAAUAAAUGUUCAUUGAGGAAAA